rnacentral:rRNA from 1 species
CCUACGGGAGGCAGCAGUGAGGAAUAUUGGUCAAUGGGCGCGAGCCUGAACCAGCCAAGUAGCGUGAAGGAUGACUGCCCUACGGGUUGUAAACUUCUUUUAUAAAGGAAUAAAGUGAGGCACGUGUGCCUUUUUGUAUGUACUUUAUGAAUAAGGAUCGCCUAACUCCGUGCCAGCAGCCGCGGUACUACGGAGGAUCCGAGCGUUAUCCGUAUUUAUUGGGUUUAAAGGGAGCGUAGAUGGGUUGUUAAGUCAGUUGUGAAAGUUUGCGGCUCAACCGUAAAAUUGCAAUUGAUACUGGCAGUCUUGAGUACAGUUGAGGUAGGCGGAAUUCGUGGUGUAGCGGUGAAAUGCGUAGAGAUCACGAAGAACUCCGAUUGCGAAGGCAGCUUACUAAACUGACACUGACAUUGAGGCUCGAAAGUGUGGGGAUCAAACAGGAUUAGAUACCCUGGUAGUC